AACCCAUGGUGAGGGCAUCUUCUCAAGAGGUCCUUGUAUCUCUCCCAUGCAUCGUAGAGUGUUUCUAAAUCCAUCUAUACAAAAGAAGAGAUCAUUACGUAAUUUAUCAGUUU
rfam:Gossypium arboreum cultivar AKA8401 contig_31298_3, whole genome shotgun sequence.